GAGUACGUGAAACUGCUUAGAGAUUAAACCCGAUGAACCUGAAUAUCCGUUAUGGAAAAUUCAUCACUAAUGAUGUGGUAUUUAUUAUAAUAUCAUAGAAAUAGUGUGCAAUUUUUCCAUAUAAGGACAUUGUAAUUUGUUAAUGUGUUAAAUAUUUAUUAAAAGAUCUUUUACUUUGGUUUAUUUUAAUUAGUUAUCUUCGGAUAUCUAACAUAAAAUAAUUGUAUUAGAUUUGAUAAAUCAUUGACAAAUUUAAUUAUAUAUUGUGCUGAAAUUUUACGGAAUUUUACAAUGAUUAAUAAAUCCAUUGAUUUAUUUGUUUAAAUUGUAUGCACUUUUAUGAUUAACAAUGCGAUAGAUUCAGGAUACCUUCGGGACCCGUCUUGAAACACGGACCAAGGAGUCUAACAUAUGUGCAAGUCAUUGGGUAUUUUUAAUAAAACCCAAUGGCAUAAUUAACUUAACUUUUAAAAUGGGAUUAGUUUAUAUUUUAUUAUGAAAUAUUAAUUCAAUCCCGGGGCGUUCUAUACAGUUAUGCAUAAUAAUAUUUAUAUUAUUUAUGCCUCUAACUAGAGCGUACCUUGAGCAUAUAUGCUGUGACCCGAAA
rnacentral:rRNA from 1 species